rnacentral:rRNA from 1 species
GACGAACGCUGGCGGCGUGCCUAAUACAUGCAAGUAGAACGCUGAAGAGAGGAGCUUGCUCUUCUUGGCUGAGUUGCGAACGGGUGAGUAACGCGUAGGUAACCUGCCUUGUAGCGGGGGAUAACUAUUGGAAACGAUAGCUAAUACCGCAUAACAAUGGAUGACACAUGUCAUUUAUUUGAAAGGGGCAAUUGCUCCACUACAAGAUGGACCUGCGUUGUAUUAGCUAGUAGGUGAGGUAACGGCUUACCUAGGCAACGAUACAUAGCCGACCUGAGAGGGGGAUCGGCCACACUGGGAAUGAGAAACGGCCCAGAAUCCUACGGGAGGCAGCAGUAGGGAAUCUUCGGCAAUGGGGGCAAGCCUGACCGAGCAACGCCGCGUGAGUGAAGAAGGUUUUCGGAUCGUAAAGCUCUGUUGUAAGUCAAGAACGAGUGUGAGAGUGGAAAGGUCACACUGGGACGGUAGAUUACAGAAAGGGACGGCUAACUACGUG